rnacentral:rRNA from 1 species
GCGAUCAUACCAGCACUAAUGCACCGGAUCCCAUCAGAACUCCGCGAUUAAAUGUGCUUGGGCGAGAGUAGUACUAGGAUGGGUGAUCUCCUGGGAAGUCCUCGUGUUGCACCCC